CCUACGGGUGGCAGCAGUGAGGAAUAUUCGUCAAUGGACGGAAGUCUGAACCAGCCAUGCCGCGUGCGGGAAGACGGCUCUCUGAGUUGUAAACUGCUUUUGUACAAGGGUAAACCUGAAUACGUGUAUUCAGCUGAAAUUACUGUACGAAUAAGGAUCGGCUAACUCCGUGCCAGCAGCCGCGGUAAUACGGAGGAUCCAAGCGUUGUCCGGAUUUAUUGGGUUUAACGGGUGCGUAGGCGGAUUGUUAAGUUUGAGGUGAAAUGCCCGGGCUUAACUCGGGAAGUGCCUUUAAUACUGGUGGUCUUGAGAGCAGAUGCGGUAGGCGGAAUGUAUGGUGUAGCGGUGAAAUGCUUAGAGAUCAUACAGAACACCGAUUGCGAAGGCAGCUCACUAGUCUGUAACUGACGCUGAGGCACGAAAGCGUGGGGAGCAAACAGGAUUAGAUACCCGAGUAGUC
rnacentral:rRNA from 1 species